UACCAGCACCCCGAGUGGUCGGGACGUUUAUUGGGCCUAAAGCAUCCGUAGCCGGUUCUACAAGUCUUCCGUUAAAUCCACCUGCUUAACAGACGGGCUGCGGAAGAUACUAUAGAGCUAGGAGGCGGGAGAGGCAAGCGGUACUCGAUGGGUAGGGGUAAAAUCCGUUGAUCCAUUGAAGACCACCAGUGGCGAAGGCGGCUUGCCAGAACGCGCUCGACGGUGAGGGAUGAAAGCUGGGGGAGCAAACCGG
rnacentral:rRNA from 1 species